UUCAAGUCCUCAAUAGCCAGUAGCUAAUAUGAUAUUAUACUACUCAAUCUGGCUGGUUACUCCUCUUUUUCUCCCUUCUUUCCUGAAAAGAGGUGUGAUUUUCCAGAAUAACUGGCCUGAACAGACUCCAUGUUUGCACUUUUUAAGAGUAAAUUGUUGUGUGGAAUUUCAUCCUUGCUGAAGUAGGGUCUUUGACCUUGCGAAAAGAUGUAUGUACUAAUGCCACUUUUGGUCCUACAGAAGACUACAAUGCCAGCAUCUGGGAUAACUACUAGAAUGUUCUCUGCCAUCCACUAAGCAUUGAAUCCCUCCAGACACUGUUACAACAGGUCUCAUAUGUCAGAUGAUCUUUUGUUGGGCAGAUGUUGCUACUCAGGGAAAAAAAAAAAAAAAGAAAAAAAUGUGCAUUGGGUACUGGACAACUAGUCUAAGGACAACUGUCCAUGGUGCUGAAAACAGUUCUGCAUAUGCAUAUUGUCUUCUAUCAUGCCCCGUCCCUUCUUUUGCCUUCCCUUCAAAGCAAAACCCCAGCAUGCAGCAGGAGGAGCAGACAUGACCUAAUGUCUAAUUGAAUCUUGAAUAAAUAAUAAAAUUGAGUCCAGGUCCCAAAUUAUCAGUAUUUAAUUUUUAUCCAGUAAUAAUAGUGUUGGUGCUACAUAAGGAAGGGAGACAGCGUGUGUAA
rnacentral:lncRNA from 1 species